GAGUCAGUGAGUGACCGGUGACUGGCUGCUGCAGCCAAUGAUGCGAUUCACAUACGUAUUUACCAUAGACUGUAUAUAAUAGGGGCUGCACAGUGGCGUAGUGGUUAGCACUUUGAGAAGGUCCCUGGUUCGCGUCACGGCUUUCCCGGGAUCUUUCUGCAUGGAGUUUGCAUGUUCUCCCUGUGCAUGCGUGGGUUUUCUCCGGGUACUCCGGCUUCCUCCCACAGUCCAAAAAUAUGCUGAGGUUAAUUGAUUACUCUAAAUUGCCCGUAGGUGUGAAUGUGUGAGUGCUUGUUUGUCUAUAUAUGUAGCCCUGCGACAGACUGGCGACCUGUCUAGGGUGUCCCCUGCCUUCGCCCGAGUCAGCUGGGAUAGGCUCCAGCCCCCCCCACAACCCUAGUGAGGAUUAAGCGGUGUAUAGAUAAUGGACGGAUGGAUGUAUAUAAUGGUAUUUACGCAGCUAAUCAACGUCAGGCGUCCUUAUGUGCAGCCAUCGUUGUUCUCAUAGAUAUGAAUGAGUAGAUAGGACACGCCCCUUUGAGCUGCGUGCUACAGCGAGGCUAAGCUAGUGGGGGCAAAGUUUCAGUGCAUUCCGUUGGUGUAGACGGCGUGAAAACGGAAACAAGAAGUAUGCCGGCUCACUGUGCUGCAUACAAUUACACACUGCGUCGUACGAUUGAGACAAGGAAACCUGGAAUGACUUUUCAUAGGUUUCCCAGAGACUAUGGGUUGAGGAGAAAUUGGAAGUUUGUCGGCUUAGACCUGGUGUCAUUCCAUCAGUGUUAAACUUCCCGGCUCAUCUUGGAAGAGUACGUGCCAGAAAGACCACGACCAAGCAGCCUUGAGAGCUUAGGCAGCGUCUCCCUGAGGUUCCUCUCUAUCUCCCCACACAUCCACCAACCACUGGAACACAUCUCCAAAGUUCUGCCGGGCCAGCUCAGCUUCCCCUCAGAAGAAGUGCUGCCACCUGCCAGAUGAAGGAGCCUUUUGAGAGGCGGCUGGCAUCAUGAUUGGACUGUACUUUGGUCUGUUCCAAUCCAGCUUCAGUUCCAGAGACGGCAGGCGGGACGAGUCAACGGAGGCCAGGUGGAUGAAGGCAUGCAACUGAGUACAAUCCAGAAAACAACAGAGGAGGAGUGCAGCGACCCAGGGCCAGAACAAACAGAGUAGCAUCGUAUGUCUGUUAGAAAACAUCAUAGUAUAGUCUUUGCUAUGAAAAAACACCAUCAUAUCCAUCGUAUAUUGUACAAAUAACAAGUCAAAGGAAAGAGACAUACAUUGUAGAAUUGUAGUAAUUGUGGGCUGACUGAUUUACUGAUUAUCAGUAUUUUAUUUUUUACUGAUUUACUGUAAUAAAUACAAUUCAAAAUGGUACUACUUUGGCUCUGAACCUUUAUCUACCUGUGGUCGCUCUGUCUUCUGGAGUGAUUUGAUUGGCUAUACGUCACGAAUAAAACUCCUUUAACGUAACAUCUGUAAACAAAACAAUAAUGUAUCA
ensembl:lncRNA